rnacentral:rRNA from 1 species
GAUGAACGCUGGCGGCGUGCCUAAUACAUGCAAGUCGAGCGAACAGACGAGGAGCUUGCUCCUCUGACGUUAGCGGCGGACGGGCGAGUAACACGUGGAUAACCUACCUAUAAGACUGGGAUAACUUCGGGAAACCGGAGCUAAUACCGGAUAUAUAUUGAACCGCAUGGUUCAAUAGUGAAAGACGGUUUUGCUGUCACUUAUAGAUGGAUCCGCGCCGCAUUAGCUAGUUGGUAAGGUAACGGCUUACCAAGGCAACGAUGCGUAGCCGACCUGAGAGGGUGAUCGGCCACACUGGAACUGAGACACGGUCCAGACUCCUACGGGAGGCAGCAGUAGGGAAUCUUCCGCAAUGGGCGAAAGCCUGACGGAGCAACGCCGCGUGAGUGAUGAAGGUCUUCGGAUCGUAAAACUCUGUUAUUAGGGAAGAACAAAUGUGUAAGUAACUAUGCACGUCUUGACGGUACCUAAUCAGAAAGCCACGGCUAACUACGUG